UAUGUUAACUUUCCUCCUACAGUUUAAAAAACAGGAAAAGCUGUAGAGAAAACUGACACCAAUGUGAGUUUAGACCCUGGCAACCCGGUAAGAAAAUAAGGCAGGAAUUAGCACCAUGGACAGAGACCAGCAGACCCUGCCUGCAUAAAAGUUUACUAAGCCUGGUACAGUGUUUUCUGUCCCUUCUUGUGAAACACAGAAACAGCAUUUCUUGGCUUCACUGCAUUUUGAGGAAGACACCCUCCUACUCUGUAGAAACACGGACUUUGUUUUGACUUUGUUAGGACUGGGCCAUAUGACCAACCACCGCCGGGAGAGUUGGAGCCCCGAAUUCACAGGGCACCUGCUACUGUCAUCCUCUUUUACAUACAUUUCGCUUGCCUGGAUGAGCAUGGCUUUCAUCAAAGUGCUCACACAAAAUAAAUGCAAAUCCAGGUAGUCUUCGAAAAGUCUGAUAAACCUCCAGAGUUUUAUAUCCUCGAAAUUACCAAUGGGAAAGGAUGCAAGACCGCCUGCCGGAUCACACUUGUUCCCCUCCCCCAGUAUUAUCUGAAUUCUUUUCAUCCGCCAGGCAAAGGGGCAAAGUCCUUUUCAUCCAAAGAUGGUUUGCCUGCAGAUAUUCAGACUAAGAUCUGUUGCACGUGCCCCAGACGUCUCUGAAAAUAUAUUUGCAGCCUCGGAUAGAUGACCAUUUACGUAAAAGCUCCUAUGAAUGUCCUCGGAUUUUCCUCACCUCUUUUAUUCAGUAUCAGCUUUUAGGAGGAAAAACACACGUCUCUGCUAGCAUGCAAAGGGGCAUCUAGGCAACCCAGAGAGGGUGAAGAAAAGCUGGAGGUGGGAAAGGGCAAAUCAAAGCUGUGUGUCCGGUUCUUUGGUUAAGUGUUAAGAGCCCUCUCUAAGCUUCCUCUCGAAGCCAAUACAUCUCAUGCAAAAUUAAUACAAGUAAUUAAAAAUAGCAGUUUCCAAAGUUAAAGGAAACCAUCUGUCUCAGCUGGUAGCAAUCAGUCUUUUCGCGGGUCCCUUUACCGGGACCUGGAAAGAAACGGUUUUUCUGCUUCCGAUGCUCCGAGGCUCGCUCUUAUAUUGAAGAUUUAUGUUUCCACUUGUGUGCGAUGCACGUCUAAUUUGAAAUAAUAAAGCCGGGCUGAGCAACCAGUCAAUCAGAGCUAUCAACUGCGCCCGGCACACCGCCCUGCCCCCAACAUCCCUCAGGUCUCUAACUCUUCCUCUCCCCACCCCCUCCCUCAUUCUGCCUCUCCAUCCUCUUUCCUCCCUCCUCUGUUCUCACACACACUCACACUUUGCCCCCCACGUGUGUUCAGAUCAAACCCUUGCCCCACAGAGCAAGUGACAGCACCGGGGCACGGUGACAAAGGCAGAGUUUGUAUCAGAAGAAGACUGAGGCCCGGGGAGACACCGCGGCUAGAGAAACAGCUGUCUUAUCAGCCUGCUGCAGAGAUGGAGAUGGCUCGAGAGGUCCUCAACAGAUAAUCACUUGAAUAGGUUUGCAAUGCGCCAAACUUCACGCUUGAUAAGGCCAACCCAAUGUAGAGAGCAGCCCAGAUCCUGCUCCAUUCUGUUUUAUCUGGGCUGUAAAUUAAGAAAUUGAAAUUCAGGUGGCAGAGGCAGCAGUCUGCUGAUAGACCGCUAAAGUAAACUGUCAUUAAAAUGCUUUCAGCAAGCAGAGAGGGGGCGCCUGGAAGGGGAUAUUGUUUGUUUGUUUGUUGGUUGUUUAUAUGGGAGUAAAAACAGUGAGAGGAAAGAGCCCACGGAGUUAAAAAUUAUUUGGGGAGGGAAAGCUACAAGGAGUAGAAAAGGACACGGCAUAUGGCCAGGAUUCCUAAUCAUGACUACCAUGAAUAAACAAUUUCAAAAAAUAAACUUUGAAAUUGUUUGAAGGUUGGCAUUAUAGAGAUGAAGAAACGAUUUUAACCAAUGUGGCAUAAAAGGGAAUAUUAUCUUUAUCAGAGUGGGGCAGUCCAAGUGGAUCCCAAAGGGACAUCCAAAGUUUUCCUUCCAUUUUAAGAAAAGCAAAUCAACAGGGUACAGGAGUUUUCAAAACCAAAGUUAAUCUGGCCUAUUUGUUGAAGUGACUGGGUCUCAGGAGGGGUUCAGGGUGAUUUUUAGAAUAGCAUAAGUGGCUAACUUCAAAAGAGUCUACUUAGCUACUUAUAGUAAAAACAGUUAUAUUUCAACUCUCUCUCCCCUUUACCCAGGUCAUUAUAAUAGGGUAAGUAAGGAACCCCUCAAAUCCAAGUAUGUUUCCUGACACCACCUGAUUCAUAUAGCAUGUUUUAUAUCCACCAUCCUCUACUGCUUUUAUAAACAUGAGGUUUGAAAUAUUUUAUGCAAUAUUUGAAUAAAUGUUAACCCCCAAAUUUAAAAUGUAAAAUUACCAGCAGAUAGCCAGUGAUGUUGUCAUCUUGAUUUACUAGUGACCCAGUACUGUACCUUGUUCUUUGCAUUUAAGUGGAUUGAUUGUUCAUUUGUGCUUGUUUGUGAUGUGUAUGAGAGGAUGUAUUACAUUUUACACAGCAUUUCUAUUUGGUCUUAGGAACAUUUAUACAAAGGUACCUUCAGCUAGCAACACAGUUAAUACAGUUUUUUUAAAAAAUCAAUCAAUUUUUAUUUUGUUUAACCCCAAAACUUAAAUUAAUGUUAGAA
ensembl:lincRNA